rnacentral:rRNA from 1 species
CGGGGAGCACCACAACAGGUGGAGCCUGCGGUUUAAUCGGACUCAACGCCGGGAAACUCACCAGAUAAGACAGCUGAAUGAUAGUCGGGCUGAAGACUCUACUUGACUAGCUGAGAGGAGGUGCAUGGCCGUCGUCAGUUCGUACUGUGAAGCAUCCUGUUAAGUCAGGCAACGAGCGAGACCCACGCCAACAGUUGCCAGCUCGUCCUCCGGGAUGGUGGGGACACUGUUGGGACCGCCUCUGCUAAAGAGGAGGAAGGAGUGGGCAACGGUAGGUCAGCAUGCCCCGAAUUAUCUGGGCUACACGCGGGCUACAAUGGGUGGGACAAUGGGUAUCGACACCGAAAGGUGAAGGCAAUCUCCUAAACCCAUCCGUAGUUCGGAUUGUGGGCUGCAACUCGCCCACAUGAAGCUGGAAUCUGUAGUAAUCGUGUCUCAAAAUGGCACGGUGAAUAUGUCCCUGCUCCUU